rnacentral:RNase_P_RNA from 1 species
UGAGCAGGCUGGACAGUCGCGGGCGAAGGGGGAAACCCCCCGUCUGAGGAAAGUCCGGGCUUCAGAGGGCGAGGAUAACGGCUAACCGCCGCCGGGGGCGACCCCAGGGAAAGUGCAACAGAGAGAUACCGCCGGGCUUGCCCGGUAAGGAUGGAAAGGCGAGGUAAGAGCUCACCGGCGCGGGGGAGACCCCGUGGCCCUGUAAACCCUAUCCGAAGCAACACCGUGGAGGGACACACAGCGCGGCCCGCGCGUCCCGUGGAGGUGGCGUGAGCCGGACGGCAACGUCCGGCCAAGAUAGAUGACUGUCCACGACAGAACCCGGCUUACAGGCCUGGUCACACA